CACUUCUAAGGAAGGCGGCAGGCGCGCAAAUUACCCAAUCCUGACUCAGGGAGGUAGUGACAAGAAAUAACAAUAAACCGGCUUAUGCCGGUUUAAUUGGAAUGAGUACAAUUUAAACAUCUUAACGAGGAACAAUUGGAGGGCAAGUCUGGUGCCAGCAGCCGCGGUAAUUCCAGCUCCAAUAGCGUAUACUAAAGUUGUUGCAGUUAAAAAGCUCGUAGUUGGAUUUCUGUGGGGACGGAGCGGCCGGCCGCACAUCGCGGUUCGAGCUAGCGCUUUCCCUACAUCCUGCCGCGAACCGUGCUACCAUUAAUUUGGUGGCGCUGGGGAUCGGCUCGAUUACUUUGAGAAAAAUAGAGUGUUCAAAGCAGGCCACAUGCCUUGAAUAAGUUAGCAUGGAAUAAUAACUAAGGACUUCGGUUCUAUUUUGUUGGUGUUCGGGACUGAAGUAAUGAUUGAUAGGGACAGUUGGGGCGGUCUGUAUUCCAAAGCGAGAGGUGAAAUUCUUAGACCUUCGGAAGACAAACAGCUGCGAAAGCGUUCCGCAAGGAUGUUCCCUUUGAUCAAGAACGAAAGUUGGGGGAUCGAAGACGAUCAGAUACCGUCGUAGUCUCAACUAUAAACUAUACCAGCUAGGGAUCGGCCAACGUUAUUUCAAACCGACUUGGUCGGCACCUUAUGAGAAAUCAAAGCAUCUGGGUUCCGGGGGGAGUAUGGUCGCAAGGCUGAAACUUAAAGGAAUUGACGGAAGGGCACCACCAGCCGUGGAGCCUGUGGCUUAAUUUGACUCAACACGGGAAAACUUACCAGGUCCAGACAUAGUAAGGAUUGACAGAUUGAUAGCUCUUUCUUGAUUCUGUGGGUGGUGGUGCAUGGCCGUUCUUAGUUGGUGGAGUGAUUUGUCUGGUUAAUUCCGUUAACGAACGAGACCCCAGCCUGCUAAAUAGCGCGCGUGAGCUUUGCUCGCGGCGAGCUUCUUAGAGGGACUCUGAUGCGCGAUAGCACAUGGAAGUUUGGGGCAAUAACAGGUCUGUGAUGCCCUUAGAUGUUCUGGGCCGCACACGGGCUACACUGGCGCCUGCAUCGAGCAUAUCAGCUGGCCCGAGAGGGUCUUGGCUAAUCUUUUGAACCGGCGCCGUGCUUGGGAUUGACCUUUGCAAUUGUUGGUCAUGCAACGAGGAAUGCCUUGUAAACGCGAGUCAUCAGCUCGCAUUGAAUACGUCCCUGCCCUUUGUACACACCGCCCGUCGCUCCUACCGAUGAAUGUUCCGAUGAAAUUUUCGGAGAGCACCUGUGAACUUGGCUCUGCCUUGCGAACGGGAGGCUCAAAGUCACUUAAAUCUGAACAUUUCGAGG
rnacentral:rRNA from 1 species